GUCCACGCCGUAAACGAUGGGCGCUAGGUGUGGGAGGUGUCGACUCCUUCCGUGCCGCAGCUAACGCAUUAAGCGCCCCGCCUGGGGAGUACGGCCGCAAGGCUAAAAACUCAAAGGAAUUGACGGGGGCCCGCACAAGCAGCGGAGCAUGUGGUUUAAUUGGAUGCAACGCCAAGAACCUUACCAAGGCUUGACAUGGUCGGGAAAGCCGGAGAAAUUCGGCCCUCCUUCGGGACUCGAUCACAGGUGGUGCAUGGCUGUCGU
rnacentral:rRNA from 1 species